CAUAAUUUGACUGCCUGUGGCCCCUUCCCUGAGGAUCUAUGAGGAAAGGCAGAUGUUAUGGCUAAAUUGAGUGCAGCUGAGAAGCAGCGGCAUUACAGGCAGCGUAGGGAUGCUGAUCCCGAACGCAGAAAAGGAUAUUUGCAGAGCAGGAAGCAGGGCUAUAUCAGAGAUGUUGAAAUGAAAAAGAGGAAAAGAGUGAGUGAGCUAAGUGAAAGAGAGAAGAAAGCACAACGAAAGGCAUGGAGAGUCCGUCAGCAACGGCACAGGGCAGGACUUAGAGCAGGAGCGGUGACCACUCCAUCAUCAACAGACAGCAACCCAUCACCCAACGUUUCAAGACAACCACAACAAGAGAGGCGAGCACGUAGGAGAGAUGCACAAAGCAAUCGAAGAGAAAUAGAGAAACUGAAAGAUGAGAUCAUCCUUUGGAAACGCAGAUAUGAAAAGGCGAAGAAACGUAACAUACGACUUCAGCAUGCAAAUCUGGUCAGUCCAGAAGUUAAAACACAAAACAUUCUUCAAGAGUUUAGACCCAAUGUCCUCGAAGACCAUCACAGUGGGCAAUGGUGUGUUGUUCGCUAUGAUGAUGAACCCUACCCUGGCAUAAUAUUGAAAGUGGAGGAAAAUAAUGUGGAAGUCAAGUGCAUGCACCGAAAUGGAGUGAAUAAGUUCUUCUGGCCAAGUUCCAGAGAUGAUAUUAACUGGUAUCAUGAUGACCAGAUCAUGUGCCUGAUUCCAGAGCCCCUAGCACUGAAUAGGCAUUCAGCUGAAAUUGAUCAGAGGUUCUGGGAGAUCAUUCUGAGACAGCAAGGCAAGUGAAAUAAGACUGAAGACCGAAGUGAAGAUUCUCCUUUAAGAUUUUCUGGUAGAGAGCAGAAUUCAUGUUUCCCUCAAUUAUUGCAAGUUUCCCAGGCCCUGAAGCAGCAAAGCAUCCCCACAUCAUCACAUUUCCACCACCAUGCUUCACUGUAGGUAUGAUGUUCUUUUUGUGGAAUUUUGUGUUUGGUUUAUGUCAGAUGUAACGGGACCCCUGUCUUCCAAACAGUUCCACUUUCAACUCAUCUAUCCACAGAACAUUCUCCCAAAAGGUUUAAGGAUCAUCAAGGUGCGUUUUAGCAAAAUUCAUAUGAGUCUUAAUGUUCUUCUGGGUUAGCAGUGGUUUUCACCUCGCCACUCUUCCAUGGAUGCCAUUUUUGCACAGUGUCUUUCUGAUAGUGGAGUCAAGAACAGUCACCUUUAUGUAUGCAAGAGAGGCCUGUAGGUCCUCUGAUGUUGUCCUUGGCUCAUUUGUGACUUGCUGGAUGAGUAGUUGCUGUGCUCUUGGGGGAAUUUUGGAAGGUCGGCCACUUCUGGGAAGGUUCGUUACUACGCCUAGUUUUUCCAUUUGGAGAGAACAACUCUCACUGUGGUCCUUUGGAGUUCCAGAGCCUUUGAAAUAGCUUUGUAACCCUUUCCCAGACUGACGUAUUUCAAUCACCUUCUUCCUCAUCAUUUCUGGAAUUUCUUUCAAUUUUGGCACAAUGUGUUACUUGGGUAAGACCUUUUAACCUUCAUGCUGUUGAAAAAUUUCUAUUUAAGUGUUGAUUUGAUUGAACAGGGUUUACAAUAAUCAGGCCUGGUUGUGUUUAGUCCAGCUGAACCCCAUUAUGAAUGCAGUUUCAUAUAUUUGGGGAAUUAAAUUUUCACACAGGCCCCGUUGGUACUGGAUAACUUUUUUGCUUCAAUAAAUAAAUAUCAUUUAAAUCUA